CCUAUUAUGUCUGUUUGUUUUGUUCACAAGUUGUUGUCAAUGUUAUGCAAUUUUAUGCGACUGUCAUACAAGUGAGAGGUUUAGCUGGUUACACAACAAGGUUUAAUCCAUUUUUUUCUACUAAAGAAAAUACCUGUACCAAGGUAGGAAUAUGUCAGUUGUUGUCCAUUCGUUUGAUGUGUUUGCGGUUUUGAUUAUGCUAUUUGAUAAGGGA
rnacentral:lncRNA from 1 species